rnacentral:tRNA from 1 species
CUCCCGCGCCGGGAGUCGAACCCGGGCCGCCUGGGUGAGAGCCAGGAAUCCUAAACGGUAGACCUCGCGGGA